ensembl:lncRNA
AAACAGCAGUAGUUGUGCAGUGGAGGAUGGGGGAGAUUGUUACUCGGAUCACAGAACCCACGACCAGGUUUUGAGUGCAAAGCAAUGCAGAUGCUGGCAGUUGGCAGGCUGGAGCAGGCAGUGGUGCACGUCCUGAAGAACCCUGAUGCCACGUAUGAUGGUGAUGAUUGGACUAUGAAUCUACUGAGGCCUCCAAGGUGGAUAUUUUACUGUGUGAGCCACCAGGGAAGCCCAAGGAGGCCUGCUGCUGCUGCUGCUGCUACUACUACUAAGUCACUUCAGUCAUGUCCAACUCUGUGCGACCCCAUAGACGGCAGCCCACCAGGCUCCAUCGUCC